rnacentral:rRNA from 1 species
UACGGAGGGCGCAAGCGUUAUCCGGAAUUAUUGGGCGUAAAGAGCUCGUAGGCGGCUUGUCGCGUCGACUGUGAAAUCCCGCGGCUCAACUGCGGGUCUGCAGUCGAUACGGGCAGGCUAGAGUUCGGUAGGGGAGACUGGAAUUCCUGGUGUAGCGGUGAAAUGCGCAGAUAUCAGGAGGAACACCGGUGGCGAAGGCGGGUCUCUGGGCCGAUACUGACGCUGAGGAGCGAAAGCGUGGGGAGCGAACAGG